GCGCAGCGAGAAAGCGUUGCCGCAGGCAACGACCCGAAGGGCGAAGCGCGCAGCGCUGAGUCAUCCUUCCCCCACCACCA
rnacentral:sRNA from 14 species